rnacentral:sRNA from 1 species
CGACGACGUGUUGAGAGACAAAUGACACAAGGCGAUGAAAGGCGGAGAAGA